UUCCCCUAGUAACUGCGAGUGAAGCGGGAAAAGCUCAAAUUUGAAAUCUGACGGUUCUUGAUCGUCCGAGUUGUAAUCUAGAGAAGUGUUACCUGUGCUGGACCGUGUUCAAGUCUCCUGGAAUGGAGCAUCAUAGAGGGUGAGAAUCCCGUCUUUGACACGGACUGCCUGUACGCCGUGGUGCGCUCUCAAAGAGUCGAGUUGUUUGGGAAUGCAGCUCAAAAUGGGUGGUAAAUGCCAUCUAAAGCUAAAUAUUGGCGAGAGACCGAUAGCGAACAAGUACCGUGAGGGAAAGAUGAAAAGUACUUUGGAAAGAGAGUUAAACAGUACGUGAAAUUGCUGAAAGGGAAACGCUUGAAGUCAGUCGUGUCGGCCAGAAAUCAGCCUUGCUUUUGCCUGGUGUACUUUCUGGUUUGAUGGGUCAGCAUCAAUUUUGGCCAUCGGACAAAGUCUUUGGGAAUGUGGCAUCUUUGGAUGUGUUAUAGCCCAUUGUCGCAUACGGUGGUUGGGAUUGAGGAAUUCAGCACGCCUCGCAAGGGGCCGGGUAUUUAUACCACGUUCGUGCUUAGGAUGCUGGCAUAAUGGCUUUAAUCGACCCGUCUUGAAACACGGACCAAGGAGUCUAACAUGCCUGCGAGUGUUUGGGUGGAAAACCCAUGCGCGCAAUGAAAGUGAAAGUUGAGAUCCCUGUUAAAGGGGAGCAUUGACGCCCGGACCCAGACCUUUUGUGACGGAUCCGCGGUAGAGCAYGCAUGUUGGGACCCGAAAGAUGGUGAACUAUGCCUGAAUAGGGUGAAGCCAGAGGAAACUCUGGUGGAGGCUCGUAGCGAUUCUGACGUGCAAAUCGAUCGUCRAAUUUGGGUAUAGGGGCGAAAGACU
rnacentral:rRNA from 1 species